AUGGCCUGGCAGCAAUCACCAUCGCCGCCGGCGGCGAACUCACCGCCACCACCCGCUCCCACCACCGUAAUCUCUCUCGACGAAGAUCUCCUCCGCGAGAUCUUCCUCCGCCUCCCCUCCCUCCCAAGCCUCGUCCGUGCCGCCCUCAGCUGCCGCACCUUCCUCAGCGCCGUCCGCUCGUCCCCCGCCUUCCGCCGCAGCUUCCGGGAGGCCCACCUGCCCCCUCUCCUGGGCCUCUUCUUCGACCCCGAAGUCCCCUCCAUCCCCGCCUUCGCCCCCCUCCGCCGCCGCUCCGACCCUGACCUCGCGGCCGCCGUCCGCGGCGCCGAUUUCUUCCUCACCCGCCUCCCCGCCGACGACGACACCUUCCCGGGGUGGGCCAUAGAAGGCUGCUGCGACGGCAACGUCCUCCUCCAGAACUUCAGCCUGGAGCAACUCGCCGUCUACAACCCCCUCACGCGGGCCCUGGAUCUCAUCCCCGUGCCGCCCGACAAGAUCUUCGAGGGCGCCCGCGGCGACGCCAAGUACCUUGGAUGCUACAUCCUCUCCUCCGAAGAGGGCGGCGAGCCGCUGCGCCUGGUCUACACCUGCCAUGACAAGUCGCGGGCGCGUGCCGCCAUCUUCUCGUCGGAGAGCAGGGAGUGGCAGAUCUUCCCGUGGUCGGAGGCUGUGACGCCAUUGCCUGAAGACGAGCACUGGCUUAAAGUUGGCACAAUGGUGAAUGGGUUCGUCUACUGGAUACACACAAAUGAAGCCUACAUCCUCGUGCUGAACACCGCGACACUACAUUUCUCCCAGAUGGAUUUGCCGCCGACCUUGGUGGCGCGCGAUCUCAUAUUCAGGGUUGGCGAGACCAAGGAUGGUAAGCCUUGCAUUGUCUGCCCAAUUGAUUUUGAGCUUUUUGUUUGGGUCCGGGGAGCCGAGGAUGAUGGCAUCGAGAGAUGGAUAUUCGACCAGAGGUUUCCAUUGGAGACGAUUGUCGAGGUCACCGAGAGUACACUUGUGGAACAUGGUGACCUGAAGGUUGUGGCCACUAUUGGUGGAUUUGUGUACUUCUCUACCAUGGAAACGUUCCUUGAUGGUCAUAAUCCUAGUUGGUUCAUGUCUCUAUGCAUGGAGACAGGGGAGCUGGCCACGCUCUUCCAGAGGAGAUUUGACGGCCAUCCCCAUCCCUACAUCAUGGCAUGGCCUCCUUGUUUGAUAGACAACCAGGUGCACCCUCAACUCGAAGGUGCUUGA
rnacentral:rRNA from 1 species